CACGUAGGGUGCGAGCGUUGUCCGGAAUUAUUGGGCGUAAAGAGCUCGUAGGCGGUGUGUCGCGUCGGCCGUGAAACCUGCAGCUUAACUGUGGGCGUGCGGUCGAUACGGGCAUCACUGGAGUUCGGCAGGGGAGACUGGAAUUCCUGGUGUAGCGGUGAAAUGCGCAGAUAUCAGGAGGAACACCGGUGGCGAAGGCGGGUC
rnacentral:rRNA from 1 species